rnacentral:rRNA from 1 species
CCUACGGGUGGCAGCAGUGAGGAAUAUUGGUCAAUGGUCGGGAGACUGAACCAGCCAAGCCGCGUGAGGGAGUAAGGUACAGAGUAUCGUAAACCUCUUUUGUCAGGGAACAAAGGCGGGGACGUGUCCCCGGAUGAGUGUACCUGAAGAAAAAGAAUCGGAUAACUCCGUGCCAGCAGCCGCGGUAAUACGGAGGAUGCGAGCGUUAUCCGGAUUUAUUGGUUUAAAAGGGUGAGCAGGCGGUCUGUUAAGUCAGCGGUAAAAGCCCGGGGCUCAACCCCGGCCCGCCGUUGAAACUGGCAGUCUCGAGUUGGCGAGAGGUAUGCGGAAUGCGCGGUGUAGCGGUGAAAUGCAUAGAUAUCGCGCAGAACUCCGAUUGCGAAGGCAGCAUGCCGGCUCCACACUGACGCUGAGGCACGAAAGCGUGGGUAUCGAACAGGAUUAGAUACCCGAGUAGUC